GACGAGCCACACGAACGUUAUUCGGAAUUACUGGGCUUAAAGGGUGCGUAGGCGGUGCGGAAAGUUGGGUGUGAAAUCCCUCGGCUCAACCGAGGAACUGCGCCCAAAACUACCGUACUUGAGGAAGAUAGAGGUGAGCGGAACUUACAGUGGAGCGGUGAAAUGCGUUGAUAUUGGGAAGAACACCGGUGGCGAAGGCGGCGACCUGGUCCGUGACUGACGCUGAGGCGCGAAAGCGUGGGGAGCAAACAGG
rnacentral:rRNA from 1 species